rnacentral:rRNA from 1 species
UACAGAGGUCUCAAGCGUUGUUCGGAUUCAUUGGGCGUAAAGGGUGCGUAGGCGGCGCGGUAAGUCGGGUGUGAAAUCUCGGGGCUUAACUCCGAAACUGCACUCGAUACUGGCGUGCUUGAGGACUGGAGAGGAGACUGGAAUUCAUGGUGUAGCAGUGAAAUGCGUAGAGAUCAUGAGGAAGACCAGUGGCGAAGGCGGGUCUCUGGACAGUUCCUGACACUGAGACACGAAGGCCAGGGGAGCAAACGGG